GCUGGGGUAGUCUAGUCUGGUAAGGCACCAGAUUGAAGAUCUGGCGAGUAUAUCUGUGCUCCGCGGGUUCAAAUGUAUUCGUUACGAGAAGUCCCGUCCCCAGCG
rnacentral:tRNA from 1 species